rnacentral:tRNA from 1 species
CAUUAGAUGACUGAAAGUAAGUGUAGGUCUUUUAAACCUAUUAUAGUAUCACGC